GCACUAGUAGCUCAGUCUUUAGAGCAUCGGCCUUGUAAGCCGAACGUCGAGGGUUAAAAUCCCCCCUGGUGCU
rnacentral:tRNA from 1 species